rnacentral:rRNA from 1 species
UAGGGAAUAUUGGACAAUAAAUGCAAACCUAAUCCAGCCAUGCCGCGUGCAGGAAGAAGGCCUUCUGGGUUGUAAACUGCUUUUGCCAGGGGAUAAAAAGCCCAUGCGUGGGAAAUUGAAGGUACCUGGUGAAUAAGCCACGGCUAACUACGUGCCAGCAGCCGCGGUAAUACGUAGGUGGCAAGCGUUGUCCGGAUUUAUUGGGUUUAAAGGGUGCGUAGGCGGUCUUUUAAGUCAGUGCUGAAAUAUCCCGGCUUAACCGGGAGGGUGGCAUUGAUACUGAAGGACUUGAGUAAAGUUGAGGUAGGCGGAAUUGACGGUGUAGCGGUGAAAUGCUUAGAUAUCGUCAAGAACACCGGUAGUGUAGACAGCUUACUAAGCUUUAACUAACGCUGAGGCACGAAAGUGUGGGGAUCAAACAAA